CAUUAUGUUUCUGAAAGGUACCCUGACCAUUGUCUUUGCUGGAUUUUGGCUACUGUGCAUGCUUUGUCUGAAGACAGAUGCUUAUGUCCCACUGAGCCAUGGCUGCUGCAUCAAGUACAUUCGCAGACCACUGGAUUUCAAACUGAUCAAAGGUUUUGCACAGCCGAGUUUUGGUAACGUGCGCUGCGUUGAUGUGAUCAUAUUCAUUACAAAGCGCAACAAGAAGGUGUGUGCAAACACUAAGGAGGUGUGGGUGAAGAAUGUUCUAAAACGUCUAAGGGCACGCUUCCAGGCCAGACAAAGGCUAUAAAAGCUAGUUCAAGUGAGCAGAGAAGCAUCUAUAAAAGCACAGCAUGUCUAAUCUUGAUGUGGAUGAGCUACAAGACAGCAGGCAACACAGUGAAAUCUAUACUUCACAUAUCCCAUCUUUGGAAAUUGGGUCAGAGCACAGCAUCAGCCAUUAUACAGCACUCCUGGAGCAAUGAGAGUUAAGGGCCCUGCUCAGGGGCCCAACAGCUUAGGAGUGCUGUUGCUCUAACCCCAAUCUGCCAAUCAACAACCCAACAACCUUUAACCACCACUACCCCAAAGGAUUGUUUCAACAUGCAACAGGUUUGAUUUGUGCCCAGGAUCACAACAUAAAGGAAAAGAACCAACAUCAGAAUUGUAAUUUGAACCCAUGCCUCCAAAGGAGACUGCUACCUGAACACAGCACCUAAGACUGCUCGGCCAACCUGACACAUAAGUUUUUAAAAGGUCCAAAUAGUAAAGUGAGUAGUUUGCUCACAAAAAUAUUUGACAGAUCUAUUUAUUUUAUUUGUAUUCACAGCCACCCCUUCUACCAGACUCUUAACCUCAGUCACUGGCAGAAUGAAUGAGAACAUAUGAACUACCACUGCCAGACUCUGUAACAGCUUUUUCCCUAAGAUUGUUAUGCUUAGUAACUGAACUAAAAUAAAUGAAACAAUAUCUAAUCAGCUUGGCAGGUCCUCUGUUAAAGUGUAGGAUUCUAUAUAGUAGCACAGAACAAGCUAUGAAAACCCAAGUAUAUCAAAAUCCUACUGUUUUCUGUCUUACUAUUGAUAAAUAAAUCAAAUGUUGUAGUCAUUCUAGAUCCCAUUCAGAUAUUAGAUGUUGCUAAUCUUUGUAAGUCAAUUAACUGGUCAAUAAACAAGCAUGAGAUGGAAUUUCCACCUGUUUUGUUGUGUCCAUUUUCAGUAUUUUAAUUUCUUUGACAGGUUACACUCCACAGUGGGG